rnacentral:rRNA from 1 species
GGCGCACGGGUGAGUAACGCGUAUCCAACCUGCCCUUCACCACGGGAUAACCCGGCGAACGUCGGACUAAUACCGUAUGUUGUCCAUUGACGGCAUCCGAUUUGGACGAAAGGUUUGGCGGUGAGGGAUGGGGAUGCGUCCGAUUAGCUUGACGGCGGGGUAACGGCCCACCGUGGCAACGAUCGGUAGGGGUUCUGAGAGGAAGGUCCCCCACACUGGAACUGAGACACGGUCCAGACUCCUACGGGAGGCAGCAGUGAGGAAUAUUGGUCAAUGGGCGGAAGCCUGAACCAGCCAAGUAGCGUGCAGGAUGACGGCCCUAUGGGUUGUAAACUGCUUUUAUGCGGGGAUAAAGGGACUCACGUGUGGGUUUUUGCAGGUACCGCAUGAAUAAGGACCGGCUAAUUCCGUGCCAGCAGCCGCGGUAAUACGGAAGGUCCGGGCGUUAUCCGGAUUUAUUGGGUUU